rnacentral:rRNA from 1 species
GCGGUGGAGCAUGUGGUUAAUUCGAUGAUACGCGAGGAACCUUACCUGGGCUCAAAUGUAUGUUGACGUAUUCUGAAAGGGAUACUUCUUCGGACAAUAUACAAGGUGCUGCAUGGUUGUCGUCAGCUCGUGCCGUGAGGUGUCGGGUUAAGUCCCAUAACGAGCGCAACCCCUAUCAUUAGUUGCCAUCAGGUCAAGCUGGGGACUCUAAUGAAACUGCCUACGCAAGUAGUGAGGAAGGUGGGGAUGACGUCAAAUCAGCACGGCCCUUACGUCCAGGGCUACACACGUGCUACAAUGGCCGGCACAACGGGAAGCGAGUUCGCGAGGACGAGCGGAUCCCUUAAAGCCGGUCGCAGUUCGGAUUGAAGUCUGCAACUCGACUUCAUGAAGCUGGAAUCGCUAGUAAUCGUGGAUCAGCCAAGCCGCGGUGAAUACGUUCCCGGGCCUU